UACGUAGGGAGCAAGCGUUGUCCGGAAUCAUUGGGCGUAAAGCGCGCGUAGGUGGCCUCAUAAGUCCGCUGUGAAAGUCAAAGGCUCAACCUUUGAAAGCCGGUGGAUACUGUGGGGGCUAGAGUACGGAAGAGGCGAGUGGAAUUCCUGGUGUAGCGGUGGAAUGCGCAGAUAUCAGGAGGAACACCAAUAGCGAAGGCAGCUCGCUGGGACGUUACUGACACUGAGGCGCGAAAGCGUGGGGAGCGAACAGG
rnacentral:rRNA from 1 species